GCCCAGGUGGUGGAAUUGGUAGACACGCAAGGUUGAGGGCCUUGUGGGAAGAUUUUCCCGUGCAAGUUCGAUUCUUGUUCUGGGCA
rnacentral:tRNA from 1 species